UGAAAAAAAAAGGAAAUUUAAACAGCUUCAUAUUCAUAGCUGGCUACCGUGAAACUACUCUGUUUCUAAAAAAGAAGAAGUAAUGGGAAAAGGCAACUGAGACUGGGAAAAGGCAUUUGACUGAAAACAGGGGAUGUGAAAUUGUGAACACAAACACACGGAGAAAGAAAGAACAGAGUACAAUCCUUUAUUAAACAGCCUAUAAAUAUCAAUUGGAUCCGGCUUUGUUUCAAGUGGGUUUCGAGCAUUACAAUCACAGUUGGUCUUCUCUAAUUUCAAUUUCCAAAUAUAUACAAAAGAAAAAAAGAAAAAGAAAAACAGGAGUCGUUGGAUUGUCUGAAACCGGAGUGUUUUCAGGAGGUUUUGGAGACCAUCGCUGCUGUAAUUCCUUCUCACAAAUGGCUACAAUGAAGUGUAAAAGAGAGUCUUUGUCGUCACCAUCUUCUUCUUCAACACGUCAAUGGAAAUACGAUGUAUUUCUUAGUUUCAGGGGUGAGGAUACCCGUAAUAAUUUUACUGACCAUCUAUAUGUUGCUUUGCAACGAAAGCACAUAUGUUGGAAGAAAGUCACUAUAGUUUCUUUUGGGUCAGUUGAGAUAUGGGCUUUUGGGUUUAGUAGAGAUAGUAUCUCCUUUGGGUUGUUGGUGGGAUCAAGGUAAUUGAGUGAGCUUUGUUGAAGAUGGGCUUUGUGCACAAAAAAGAAAAGAAAAGAAAAGUAUCUUGUAAGUCAGUUUUACU